rnacentral:rRNA from 1 species
CUACCAGGGUUUCUAAUCCUGUUUGCUCCCCACGCUUUCGCACCUCAGCGUCAAUAUGUGUCCAGUAAGUCGCCUUCGCCACUGGUGUUCUUCCGAAUAUCUACGAAUUUCACCUCUACACUCGGAAUUCCACUUACCUCUCCACAAUUCUAGCGAUGCAGUCUUAAAGGCAAUUCCGGAGUUGAGCCCCGGGCUUUCACCUCUAACUUACAAAGCCGCCUACGUGCGCUUUACGCCCAGUAAUUCCGAACAACGCUAGCUCCCUCCGUAUUACCGCGGCUGCUGGCAC